UACAGAGGUCUCAAGCGUUGUUCGGAUUCAUUGGGCGUAAAGGGUGCGUAGGCGGCGCGGUAAGUCGGGUGUGAAAUCUCGGGACUUAACUCCGAAACUGCAUUCGAUACUGCCGUGCUUGAGGACUGGAGAGGAGACUGGAAUUUACGGUGUAGCGGUGAAAUGCGUAGAUAUCGUAAGGAAGACCAGUGGCGAAGGCGGGUCUCUGGACAGUUCCUGACGCUGAGGCACGAAGGUCAGGGGAGCAAACGGG
rnacentral:rRNA from 1 species